AUGCAGUCGAACGCGAAAGUUCCCCUCNGGGGCAGCGAGUAGAGUGGCGCACGNCCCUUNAAAGNNGUAGGUAAUUUGCCUUUGGGUGGGGAAUAACNCNUNGAAACUUGAGCUAAUACCGCAUAAUGCAGCGGCACCGCAAGGUGACAGUUGUUAAAGGAGCAAUCCGCCUAAAGAGGAGCCUGCGGCAGAUUAGGUAGNUGGUAAGGUAAUGGCUUACCAAGCCUGCGAUCUGNAGCCGACCUGAGAGGGUGGUCGGUCACACUGACACUGAAUAACGGGUCAGACUCCUACGGGAGGCNGCAGUCGGGAAUUUUGGGCAAUGGGCNAAAGCCUGACCCNNCAACGCCGCGUGAAGGACGAAAUCUUCCGGGAUGUAAACUUNGUAAGAAUNGGGNAAGAAUANAUGAUNGUACUAUC
rnacentral:rRNA from 1 species